rnacentral:rRNA from 1 species
UACGUAGGAGGCGAGCGUUAUCCGGAUUUACUGGGCGUAAAGAGGGCGUAGACGGCUUUUCAAGUUGGAUGUAAAAUCUCCCGGCUUAACUGGGAGGGCUCAUUCAAUACUGUUGAGCUAGAGGGCAGCAGAGGGAGGUAGAAUUCCCGGUGUAGUGGUGAUAUGCGUAGAUAUCGGGAGGAAUACCAGUGGCGAAGGCGGCCUCCUGGGCUGUUUCUGACGUUGAGGCCCAAAAGCGUGGGGAGCAAACAGGAUUAGAUACCCCCGUA